GACGAACGCUGGCGGCGUGCUUAACACAUGCAAGUCGAGCGGUAAGGCCCUUUCGGGGGUACACGAGCGGCGAACGGGUGAGUAACACGUGUGUGACCUGCCCUCAGCUCUGGGAUAAGCCUGGGAAACCGGGUCUAAUACUGGAUAUGACUCCAUGACGCAUGUUGUGGGAUGGAAAGCCUUGUGCGGCUGAGGAUGGGCCCGCGGCCUAUCAGCUUGUUGGG
rnacentral:rRNA from 1 species